rnacentral:rRNA from 1 species
UACGGAGGAUCCAAGCGUUAUCCGGAUUUAUUGGGUUUAAAGGGUGCGUAGGCGGCUUAUUAAGUCAGGGGUGAAAGACGGUGGCUCAACCAUCGCAGUGCCCUUGAUACUGAUGAGCUUGAAUACACUUGAGGUAGGCGGAAUGUGACAAGUAGCGGUGAAAUGCAUAGAUAUGUCACAGAACACCAAUUGCGAAGGCAGCUUACUAAGGUGCAAUUGACGCUGUGGCACGAAAGCGUGGGGAUCAAACAGG